CCCUUAGAUGUUCUGGGCCGCACGCGCGCUACACUGAUGCAUUCAACGAGUCUAAAACCUGCUCUCAUAGGGGUGGGUAAUCUUUUGAAUGUGCAUCGUGAUUGGGAUAGAUGAUUGCAAUUUUUCAUCUUCAACGAGGAAUGCCUAGUAAACGCAAGUCAUCAGCUUGCAUUGAUUACGUCCCUGCCCUUUGUACACACCGCCCGUCGCUCCUACCGAUUGAAUGAUCCGAUGAAUAUCAUGGAUUGAGGAUGCAAGUAGGUUCGCCUAUCUUCAUCUUCGAGAAGUGAAGUAAAUCUUAUCAUUUAGAGGAAGGAGAAGUCGUAACA
rnacentral:rRNA from 1 species